CAUAAACUGGCACCACAUGGAACGCACUGCAAGACUGGAAAAUCUCUCUCCAGAGACAUUCAGGAUAUUGGAGAUUCUCCCAGCUGUGCAGAGCCAUUUCAGGUCUACACAAAGCACACUCCAGCAAAUUAACUUUCAGUGUAUUCAGUGAAUUGCUGUGGGAGACUUCUAAUAGAAACAGUGAAACAGAGGAAGGAGGGAAACUAGGGAACUACCAGGCAUGACACGAGCAUGGAAAUCCCAUAACAUCAGACAGAAGGAACCAGGGGAAGUCCCAAGGUCUGUAAGGGUCUAAUGAGCGCUGUCAAACUGAGCUGUACGAGAUGAACUACGAGCGGUGCAGCUGGACAAACUGGAUCAAAUGGCUUCCAGUAAUGAGUAUACUGGCCAUCAGGGGACAAGGUCUCCAGCCAAAGUUAGAAACUUCAGAGAAACCCUGAGGUUUUGCUGACUUCACUGCCUGGAAUAAUAAGCCAGAUGGAAGGUCUGAUUUUAUAGGAUGAGAGCAGUACAUGAAAGUUAAGAGUGGAGACAAAGUACCAUGGCAGCAAAGGGAGAUAACUCAUGGGGUGAUGUUCAAAGGAGGACUCCAGGCUGAAAAGGAGGAAAAGUUGUCAGAAUCUGUGGUAUAGGGGAAUGCAGAAUGUAAUGAAGACAGAAGCAUACCCAAGGGCAACACAAGAAUGAGC